rnacentral:rRNA from 1 species
GUGUUCUAAUGCCCCAUAGUAUUAUCGUCAGGCAUCUUUUGAUAAUUAAAGCUCAGGCGGUUUUUGAUGAACAUGCGUGUCAUUAGUUUGUUGGUGAGGUAACGGCUCACCAAGACUACGAUGACUAGGGGGUCUGAGAGGAUGAUCCCCCACACUGGUACUGAGACACGGACCAGACUCCUACGGGAGGCAGCAGUAAGGAAUAUUGGGCAAUGGAGGCAACUCUGACCCAGCCAUGCCGCGUGAAGGAUUGACGGCCCUCUGGGUUGUAAACUUCUUUUGUACGGGAAUAACCCUCCGAACGUGUUCGGAGCUGAAGGUACCGUAAGAAUAAGCAUCGGCUAACUCCGUGCCAGCAGCCGCGGUAAUACGGAGGAUGCGAGCGUUAUCCGGAUUUAUUGGGUUUAAAGGGUGCGUAGGCUGUUAUAUAAGUCAGUGGUGAAAUAUUCGGGCUCAACCGGGAUACUGCCAUUGAUACUGUAUAGCUGGAAUAUGGUUGCUGUGAGUGGAAUGUGUGGUGUAGCGGUGAAAUGCAUAGAGAUCACACAGAAUAUCGAUUGCGAAGGCAACUCACAAAGCCAUUAUUGACGCUGAUGCACGAAAGUGUGGGGAUCAAACAGGAUUAGAUACCCUGGUAGUCCACACUGUAAACGAUGAUAACUAGCUGUCGGCGAUACACAGUCGGUGGCCAAGCGAAAGCGAUAAGUUAUCCACCUGGGGAGUACGAUCGCAAGGUUGAAACUCAAAGGAAUUGACGGGGGCCCGCACAAGCGGUGGAGUAUGUGGUUUAAUUCGACGCAACGCGCAGAACCUUACCUGGUCUUGCGAACGUAUAGGGAAUUAUGCCGAAAGGUAUAAGCCAGCAAUGGCCGUAUACGAGGUGCUGCAUGGUUGUCGUCAGCUCGUGCCGUGAGGUGUUAGGUUAAGUCCUGCAACGAGCGCAACCCUUACCUUUAGUUGCCAGCAUGUAAUGAUGGGGACUCUAGAGAAACUGCCUACGCAAGUAGUGAGGAAGGUGGGGAUGACGUCAAAUCAGCACGGCCCUUACGUCCAGGGCUACACACGUGCUACAAUGGCCGAUACAAAGGGCAGCUACCAGGUGACUGGAUGCUAAUCUCCAAAGUUGGUCUCAGUUCGGAUCGAAGUCUGCAACCCGACUUCGUGAAGCUGGAUUCGCUAGUAAUCGCAUAUCAGCCAUGAUGCGGUGAAUACGUUCCCGGGCCUU